CUUUCGCUUUCGAGCGCGUUUUCUGUGCGAGUGAAAGUGUGUGGGGGCUCAGUGCGCUGAUGAAGAACGUCUCUGGCAGCAGUAAUGUAGACAGCAGCUCAAGCUGAUACUGUACAUACAGAUUUAGGGUUGUUAGGAACACAUGGAGCUGUUGAAAUGCGAGCGGACUGAAUGAAAAGCACCGGGAUGACUUUUGCUCCAGGAGUUCGCUCUGCUUGCUUCAGAGGAUUUUCACUUGCGUUAAUGCUGUUAUCGACAUGCUCGCGCAGCGACCUCGUUGAUAUUACUGUUAAGGGCACGGAUGGAGAAGCAGCAUCUCUUCCCUGCAAGUGUCCUCCGGAUAGGCCUCUGUAUCUGGUCUGGCAGAAGGUCGCCGGUGAACAGCCGCUCGUGGUUAAUUACUACAAAGACGACGACCAAGAAGACAACCUCACGGCAUCCGAGUUCAGGAACAGAACAGAGCUGAAUCUGAGUGGAAACUGUUCUCUAGUGUUUCACAGAGUGAGUCUGUCAGACCAGGGACUGUACGAGUGCUACUAUAAGAAAUCACCGUUAAGACAUGAAAGAAUCCAGCUGGUCGUCACAGAAAAACAACAACAAAUACCCGGUCAGAACGUCCAGAGCACCAUUGUGACGUCUUCAGUUUGCGUGUUUUUCAUCAUUGUGAUCGCAAGUGCUGCUGUAUACGUGGGAAUCACUUGCAGGAAUAGACAUCAGAUGAGAAGAACAUUUAUUGCAACAUCAAGGAGGAGCAUUUAACAGCUGUCAAUUCAGAGCAAGAUCUAGAUCUAUAGAUAUUAUUUUGAAUGGCAAAUGCAACAAACAAAACAACAAAAAGCACAAGCUCACACACGUCGUGCAGUUCUUAUGCGGGUGACCCAUUUCACUUGUUAACCCACCACAAACAUUUUCUGCCACUUCUCCAUCUAUUAAAGGAGUAAAUCACCGCUGACAAGAUGGGCUUUUAAUAAAAGCGGGCUGUCUAUGCAAUAAAAAACGGUGCUACAUAACUAGAGAACACAAAAAUGCGCAAGUAUAAUCUGUAGUUUUCAGACUUUUGUUGACAAAUAAAUGGGGAUUUUUUUUGUAUAGGUCACACUGAUAAAGAUACACAUUGUGCAUUUACUUAUACUACUGAUAUUGUAACAACACAAAGUUGGUUGAAAAUCUGCAAACUUACCUUUUAAAGGUAAAAUAGUCCAUAACAAUAAUGCAACUGUGAAUGCCAACCACUGGCUAAUAAUGUCACUUAUGCUUUAACAUGGUUAUUAUUGCGUUUUGCUGCAUAUCAAGACCAAUCAAGUGGUUUGCGUGGUUUUAAAACGUAAAAUUUGUUCAAAACAUUAAAACAUGAGUGAACCUCAGAGAAAAGAUUAAAUACAACUAAUAAUGUAUAUGUUUCCUUUAACAGAUGCUUUCUGUCCAAAUACUUUACACUUUACAUCCUUACGUUCGACUUUUUACAUGCUGUAAAAAAACUUAUACAGUAUGAAUAUAUAGAGUACAUAACCAAAGCAAAGAUGUACAUUAAGCAUAUUUACUCAGUGGAUUUAUAAAGUCCUGUCAGUUCGAAAAAACAUUCUUAAAGUAAUGUUUAAAGAAUGCUCUAAUAACUUUAUUAAUAUUUGAUAUAUGUUUUUCAUAACGCUGUGCAAAUCAUUCUUGGAACGUCCUUAUGAUGUUAUUUGCACGUGAUGAAUGUUCUAAGAAACAUUUUUGUUACAUUUAAAUAACGCUCAAAUCACGACAAGAAAACUAGACAAUUUAAGGUUUAUAGAAUAUUAAAAACCAUUUGAAUAACGUUAUUUUUGGGUGAAAAUAGAGUUAGUGGAACAUUGUAAGAAACCU
rnacentral:lncRNA from 1 species